AGAGAAAUAAAAAAAAUUCUUUCAUAAUAUAUUUGCAUUUGAAGACAAUUUUCUUCGUGUUCAAAAAAAAAAAAAGAGACAAUUUUCUUUAGUGACAGAGGUUGAAACGUACAACGAUGUUCUGUGUGAUCAAAGCCCACUUUAGGUGGAGACUAAUACAUCUUUGACAUACCGUACGGAAAAGACGCCACCGAGCCCAUGAAAGUGUUUGGUUUGACAGCUGCUUGAAGAGAGAGAGAUGGUUUACGGUUUUCUUAGAGUUUGUUUUGGAAAGAUUGCUGUUCAGGAUGAGUGAUUAAUAGUACUUGAGAG
rnacentral:lncRNA from 1 species